rnacentral:rRNA from 1 species
CAGUAGCCGCGGUAAUACGUAGGGUGCAAGCGUUAAUCGGAAUUACUGGGCGUAAAGCGUGCGCAGGCGGUUUGUUAAGACAGAUGCUAAAUCCCCGGGCUCAACCUGGGAACUGCAUUUGUGACUGGCAAACUAGAGUGAGGCAGAGGGGGGUGGAAUUCCGCGUGUAGCAGUGAAAUGCGUAGAUAUGCGGAGGAACACCGAUGGCGAAGGCAGCCCCCUGGGCCAACACUGACGCUCAUGCACGAAAGCGUGGGGAGCAAACAGGAUUAGAUACCCGUGUAGUCCCUGUCUCUUAUCC